CACCCAAAAGCUAGCCCGCCUAACCAACAGCAACAGACCACCGUAAAUACCCCCAAAGACACCAACACUCUUAUUAAACAAACCAUUUUUCCCCCUUAGUAUGGGCGACAGAAAAGGGCAUAGGAGCAAUAGAGAAAGUACCGCAAGGGAACGCUGAAAGAGAAGUGAAAUAACCCAGUAAAGCCUAAAAAAGCAGAGAUUUGUACUCGUACCUUUUGCAUCAUGAUUUAGCCAGUGUGUCCCAAGCAAAAAGCCUUUUAGUUUGGAAACCCGAAACUAAGUGAGCUACCCCAAGACAGCCUAUAAUAAAAGGGCAAACCCGUCUCUGUGGCAAAAGAGUGGGAAGAUCUUCGGGUAGAGGUGACAGACCUACCGAACUUAGUUAUAGCUGGUUGUCCGAGAAAUGGAUAGAAGUUCAGCCUUUCAAGUUCUUUAUUCAAUCACGUACCACCCCCUCUGAUACCCUAAGAAAUUGAAAGAGUUAGUCGAAGGGGGUACAGCCCCUUCGACACAAGACACAACUUUACCAGGAGGAUAAAGAUCAUA
rnacentral:rRNA from 1 species